AUACAAUAAAGGGGAUUAUGGAAAAUAUAGAUAGAAUUUAGCAACUUAGAAGUAAUGCAAAAGAACAUAGAUGGUAGAUUACGGAGCCAUUUUUUGAUGUAUAAAAGAAUAUGGAUAAAUUAUUUUUCUAUCUAAAUGGUGCAUCAGAAAUAUUUAUCUAAGAAAAUAAAAAUUGUUAGGUAAGUUAUUUACUCUCCAAAGAAUGAGCCUCUCAAGGAAGAGCCAUGCAUCAGAAAAAAGAAAUGAGCUGCUCUGAUAGUCAGAACUCAGAACGAUGCAUUCCCUAACUGAAUGGCUAGGUAGAU
rnacentral:lncRNA from 1 species